AGCCAGAGGAUCGAAACUCCAGAUUAAGUCAGAAGACUGAUUCAGAUUCAGCCAGAGGAUCGGAAGAGAAAUAAACAGCGCAGUGUAUUUCAGCAUUUUUGUGGUGUUCAAUUGAGUAUAGAUUCAGCCAGAGGAUCGAAACUCCAGAUUAAGUCAGAAGACUGAUUCAGAUUCAGCCAGAGGAUCGGAAGAGAAAUAAACAGCGCAGUGUAUUUCAGCAUUUUUGUGGUGUUCUCG
rnacentral:lncRNA from 1 species